UUGCUUAUACCUCUAUUGUAACAUAUUUAUUAGAAGUUAUCCUCCCACACCAUCCAUUACAACAUAACAUCCAACAUAUAAUUUCAAAAUCAAUUUGUAGUCAUUAUGGAUCAAAACUACAACUAUUACAAAAAUGAUUUAUUACAACGUGCCAAUAACGACAGUUGACAAAAAACUUGUUUGAAGAGUGCGUGAUGAAAAUAUUGUAAUUAAGUUCAUUGACAACCAAGAUGAUGAAGAUGAUUUUGAUUUCGCCAAUUUUUUCUUUUAAAUAUGACGACGUGCUUGAUUAUGAGCUCUUGGUGGAAUUGGAAGGAGAAAUUAUCGUCCGUCUGAGUAGUCCCGUCAUAAAUUUUUUUAUAUCAUAUGAGCAUGCAAUAAUUU
rnacentral:lncRNA from 1 species